rnacentral:tRNA from 1 species
CGGGGCGUAGCGCAGCCUGGUAGCGCGUCUGCUUUGGGAGCAGAAGGUCGCCGGUUCGAGUCCGGCCGCCCCGACCA